GGGGCUAUAGCUCAGGUGGUUAGAGUGCGGAGCUGAUAACUCCGAGGUCGAUGGUUCGAGCCCAUCUAGCCCCA
rnacentral:tRNA from 1 species